UACGUAGGGUGCAAGCGUUGUCCGGAAUUAUUGGGCGUAAAGAGCUCGUAGGCGGCUUGUCGCGUCCGCUGUGAAAACCUGGGGCUCAACCCCGGGCCUGCAGCCGAUACGGGCAAGCUAGAAUUCGGUAGGGGAGACUGGAAUUCCUGGUGUAGCGGUGAAAUGCGCAGAUAUCAGGAGGAACACCGGUGGCGAAGGCGGGUCUCUGGGCCGAUAUUGACGCUGAGGAGCGAAAGCGUGGGGAGCGAACAGG
rnacentral:rRNA from 1 species